rnacentral:rRNA from 1 species
UGAGUACGAGAUGCUACGGCAUCGAAGCAGUCUAUGUCAUACUUCCAAGAAAAGCUUGCAAUGUCAUAAACAAAUAAUGCCUGUACCAUAACCGACACAGGUGGGUAGGUAGAGUAUACUAAGGGGCGCGAGAUAACUCUCUCUAAGGAACUCGGCGAAAUGACUCCGUAACUUCGGGAGAAGGAGUGCCUUAUUUUUAUAAGGUUGCAAUAACAAGAUCCAAGCAACUGUUUACCAAAAACACAGGUCUCCGCUAAGUCGUAAGACGAUGUAUGGGGGCUGACGCCUGCCCAGUGCCAGAAGGUUAAAGAAGUUGGUUAGCAUUAGCGAAGCUGAUAACUGAAGCCCUGGUGAACGGCGGCCGUAACGAUAACGGUCCUAAGGCAGCGAAAUUCCUUGUCGGGUAAGUUCCGACCCGCACGAAAGGCGUAAUGAUUUGGAUACUGUCUCGGAGAGGGGCUCGGUGAAAUAGACUUGUCUGUGAAGAUGCGGACUACCUGCACCUGGACAGAAAGACCCUAUGAAGCUUUACUGUAACUUGAGAUUGAAAUUGGACUUUAUCUGCGCAGUAUAGGUGGGAGACGUUGAAAAUAUUCUUGCGGGAAUAUUGGAGUCAUCAGUGAGAUACCACUCUUAUAAUGUUAGAUUUCUAACUUUGUAUCAUUAUCUGGUCAAAGAACAGUUUCAGGCGGGCAGUUUGACUGGGGCGGUCGCCUCCCAAACGGUAACGGAGGCGCACAAAGGUUUCCUCUGAACGUGUAGAAAUCGUAUCUAGAGUGUAAAGGCAUAAGGAAGCUUGACUGUGAGACCUACAAGUCGAGCGGGGACGAAAGUCGGUCUUAGUGAUCUGACGGUGCUGAGUGGAAAGGCCGUCACUCAACGGAUAAAAGUUACUCUAGGAUAACAGGCUGAUCUCCCCCAAGAGUUCACAUCGACGGGGAGGUUUGGCACCUCGAUGUCGGCUCAUCGCAUCCUGGGGCGGUAGUACGUCCCAAGGGUUGGGCUGUUCGCCCAUGAAAGCGGUACGCGAGCUGGGUUCAGAACGUCGUGAGACAGUUCGGUCCAUAUCCGGUGUAGGCGUUAGAAUAUUGAGAGGAGCCUUCUUUAGUACGAGAGGACCGAGAAGGACAUACCUCUGGUGUACCAGUUAUCGUGCCAACGGUAAACGCUGGGUAGCCAUGUAUGGAGAGUAUAACCGCUGAAAGCAUCUAAGUGGGAAGCCCACCUCAAGAUAAG